ensembl:lncRNA
GUUGAACCUGACUUUGAAAGGCUGUUUAAUGCAUAUCGUUCAAAAUCUUUCGAUGUCAAAUUAUUGUCUUCAACUUACUGCCAUGGCUCUGUGUCUGUCUUUAUCAUUUCCAAAGAUAGAGAUGUUCCUCAUCAGCGACUCGCUCAGACAAUCAACCUCGAAUCAAAGGCCUAAAUCUGUGUUUGACCACAUCAGAUCAGACCUUCGCUGUCUGCACGUAACGCACACAGGUGUGCGCUGCACAGAGGCCGGUGACAGGUGUGGCGUAUUGGCAAUCAGCUGAUUGUGCGCAGGUGGAAGCCAGAGGAUUACCGACUCCAUUCGUCGGUUGAUGCCGGACUGUCCUCGACCUUACAAAGCUGACUUUCACCUGCUUGUGGUCACCUGGCUCUGCUGGUUCCAUCAUCGUCUGCCUGGCCUCCGUUCUCUAGUGGAUUCCAUUCAGCCGUGGAGACUCCCCUGCCACCAGCCUUCCCCUCCUGGAGAACACCUACCGAGCCCUGGAACACUCCGUGCCUCCCUAAGACGUAUAACCACCUGCCCAAGCCUCCGGACGCCAUUCUCCAUCCUGGCCGUUCGAACCGGGGACUUCGUCUAAGGAUUGGAUGGAGUCUGCACCCCUCCCUAGUAGAACUACUUCCUGUUUAGUCAGCUAAGUUCUUAGCCCUAACGACACCAGACUGUUUUGUCUUGCUAUGUAUUUCGUAUUAGUGGGUUUUCAUAGUUACUCGUAGUUGUAGUCUGGGCUUUUAGUGGAGGUUAUUGCAGACUAGGUUCUUGGUUUUUUUUGGAUAGUUUAUUUCAGUUGUAUUCCUGCCCUGGUGUUACCAGUAUUGGGUUUACUUAGUUUCUGUUUUUUAGGAUUUGUAAUUGCCCUCCGAGCCACUAGAGGCUGUCUUGAUCUGUUUGUUCCCAUAGAGUAGGUUACACUUCUGGUUCCGGAAUUCAGUUCCUAGUUGGGAUUUGUAGUCCUUGAGUUUUUUGUGUGUAAAAGCUUUUUGUAAAUCGUGCAACUGCUUUCAUUGUUACUUUCAUUUCCUGCAUCUGAGCCUCUACACCUGCCGUAACAUUUUAUUCUUUUGUAUUAUUUUCGACAUUGUAGAUUCAUACUGAAGAUUAACAUUUUUUGUUUACAACAUAAUUCCAUAUAUAUUUGUAUGUGUACUUUUAUAGUUUUGAUGUAUUCAGUAUUAAUUUACAAUGUAUAAAAUAAUUAAAGAAAAACCAUUGAAUGAGAAGGUGUGUCCAAACUUUAUUCAAUCAACUCCUAACAUUAUCAUUGCUUUAAAGUCCCAUUUUUAGUUAAUCCAUGAUUUUAGUUCAAUAUUUGGUCUUUUUUUUUUUUUUUUUUAAUCUCUGCUUUGGUCUCCACCAACAUUCAAGAGAAAUAACUAAAUUUAGCUGCUAAAUGCAAUGUUAGCAAACCUGUUCCCCAAGUUUUAACUGUGAACCCAAACAAUAGUGAGCUAAAAAUCAAAACAAAGGGCUCAAAGAUGCUAAAAUACCCUGUAAAACUGAACGCAGCAAAGUCAGGGAAUGAUUGUGUAGAGACAUUACUACCAGCUAAGGUAUUCAUACUAUAUAAUGUAUUGUUAUGAAAUCAUAUUAAAACAAUGAUUAGAGCAGCUGUAACGAC